AGGUUGAGCAAAACAUCCUGCACUGAUGGUUAUAUUGGAAAGAUGUUUCCCGUUAUUGUCAGGGACUCCAGGGGCUGGCCACACAUUCAUGUCUUCAGAGCCUAUAAAUGAAGACACAUUGCUUGAUGAUGCAUUCGACAUGAAGAUGGAGGAGGCUAUAAACAUUCUUGUCCUCCAGGCUCCGGAAACAUUGUAAAAUCCCACCGUUUGCCUUACUUGUGAUAUUCCAGCUGACAGAGCUUAAAAGUGAGGGUUCUGGCUAACCCUUAACAUUCAGUGUGCCAACCAUCUAGCCCAUUAAUCCUACACGAAAUCCAGCUCCUCUAGCAGUUAAAAAGAGGACCAAAUCCAAAUUAAAGUCCUAAGUAGAUCCAGAGCACCAGGAAAAGAACUUCAAGUGCCCCUUUGGGGGGUUGUUUUGUAAAACAUAAUGACUUUAAAAUGAUGAGUGCUUACCUCCAGUGAGACCUUCACACCUCUCAUCCUUACAAUACCUUCCAAGAGUUAUGUCAUUGUUGGAAGUCAUCGAAAUAAAAAAGUCACUCCAUGACUUUCACCAACACUCCAAACAUGAUGACAAAGUUGCACACUGACCAUGGAAAUGGUAGCUAAGACAUUGACCUUCAACAUUAGCAUCAGGGCAUCUGUAUUAUUGGCAACAAGUUCUCCUAAAGCUCCAGAGAUGAGGACAAAAAAAUUGUAGCUUCCCAUCAAGACCCCAACCAAGGUAAAAGGGCAGUUGAUGCUGAAGCAGGUAGAGUUCUUUAAAUGACACUGGCAAGAUGAAGCAGUCAUGUGAACAGAGGCUUUGUCAUUAUAUAAUCUAGGAAUGCUAUCUGCUGAAAUGCAGAGAGAAAACAAGGGAUGCCAUCCCCAAGAGGAUCUGUUGAGAACUUGUAUGGCUCUUUCGCAAGGGACAGGGGGAUUACUUCUUUCUAGACCACCAUGGCGCACUGAAAAUUAACCACUGCAUAGGGGGGGGGGGUUGCUGUCAAGGUUUCUAUAGUAUCUUGAGAAAUAACCUGCCGUCACGAAGGCUGGAACAGCUCACUUCAUCAGUUUUAAACAGCGAUAAUCUCUCUAUUCGUGAUGUGUGCCUCAUUGCUUCCCCCUGGUCCCGGAUGUAGAUGGACCUUUUUUACGAAGUAUACUUUACAAGAAGUUACACAGUUGGUGCUUUCGGAAGACUACUUUGUUGUGUGAAAAUAAUGACUUUGAACGAAUACGCCUACUCCCAACGAUGAAUGUUCAUGAUAAAAACAUCUAGAAGAAACAAGAGUAAUAGAGCUUCUCUCCUUAACAUUUUGUGGAUUGCUUAUUUU